GGGGCCGAGGACCUUUGCUGCUUGCUACACACGUGGUUGCUGUGCGCUCCAGUUAGGGGUUCGGUGACAGGUCGAUUUCCUGUAUGUCAACUUAAGGACUCACCUGUGCCUGUUACCUUUUUGAUUAGCAAAAGGAAAAUGAAUUCCUCCCUCAACAUUAAGCUGUCUAGAAACUCCCCUAUACGUGAACUUAAGAACCCGAUAUAAACGGGCCCGAACAGAGUAAAAUCGAGCAGUGUUGAUUCAUCAGAGACCCGGAGGGUGUGUUGUCACUAGCGAGUACUUGGUUGCAAACUCUCAGCAAGUUUAAACGGAGUAGGCUGUUUGGGGCAGCAUGCUGAGGAUAGCUGCCUGUCAGCCCCACAGCGGGGCGGGAGGCAGGGAUGAAAGAUCGAGAUGGACUAGAAAGGCCUGCAGCUGGGACAGACUCUCGGCCCGCCCUGUGAAAGGAGGAACCAGUACUUUUGGAACAUCCUUAUUCUCCCUAAAACGGAACAGUACGCAGGAUUACGUUUCUAAACAUUCCUGUGACCAUCUUCUAUGAAAGUCUCUCUUUGGGUCAUGCUUGGUCAAAACUGAGCCUUAAUGAGUCAAUCAAAAACAAACUCUGUGGUCAAGUCCUCAGAAUCAUUUUGCAAAUCAAAAGGAGCUGGAAAGGAAGGAAUCCGAAAAUUCUCUUUCCUAAGGCAGUCAGUUGUAGGAAUGGAUUUCACUGAUUUUCCAUGUUGGGCCUGAGGAGAGGCAUUGUGUUCCAAAGGAUGUGCCUAUCUUCUUACAUAGUCAGCGAAGAGAAGAGCGGAAGCGAGCUGCUGUGUCCAGGCUAGAAUCAAAAUGGCAUACUUCAGCCUAUGGAUGGCCAAGGGGAGAUGUCCGUGAAAGAGGGUAUGUAUAUAGGUCUGGGGAUUUGCAAAGACAUCUGAGGUCAAAUACAGAUUUGGGAGUCAUUUGCAUCUGGGUGUUGAGGCCAAGGGGAUGGGUGACAUCUCAUGAGAGGGUGUAUAGGGUGAGAAAAGAGUACCUAGGAAAACUAGGAGGAGCACCAACAUGUGGGAAAGAAAUGGCCCGAGGAGGAGGAGUCCAUGAAGGACAGGCAGGAGGUAGGAAGAAAUCCGUAGGAGGGCAUUAUCGUGGAAGUCAAGUCAAGGAGAGUGGUGGUUAACAAUGACAGGUGCGGCAGAGGGCAUGUAGGAUACAUACUGAAACAUGUUCUUUAGAUGGGGCAACAAUAACACCAUCACUCUCCUUGGUGAGAGUCAUCACAUGAGUGGAGAAAAACUACCCAGCUGAGCGUACUCACAAGAGGAGAGAGAAGGAAGUGGAAAAAGUGCAGGCAAUUAUACAGCUAACAUUGACUGUAAGAAGGGGAGUUUGUUUGCUUGUUUGUUGACUGGUUUAUUUAUUUCCUUUUAAAAGGAGAGAGACUUGAGCAUGGUUAAGCACUGAUAAGUUGGAGAGAGAGUUGGAAUGGGAUUCCUGAAGAGUGCAUUAGGACCCCAGUCCUUUCCAGGAGCCGGGAGCUGACAUCAGUCUUGCUGCCUAAAGCUCCGUAUCCAGCACUUACUAGCACCAGGCACUGUAGCAAGCAAUGGAGGUUAAAACAUGAAGAGACACUGUCCCAGCCCUCUCGGAGCUCACGUUCCAGCAGAUUAGCCUUGAACUAGCAUCCACUGCCAAGCCUCCUCUUUCUGCUGAGGAAGACUGGCCCUGAGCUAACAUCUGUGCCCAUCUUCCUCUAUUUUGUAUGUGGGACGCCUGCCAUAGCAUGGCCUGAUGAGCAGUGUGUAGCUCUACACCUGGGAUCCGGAGCAGUGAACCCCAGGCUGCCAAAGCGGAGCGCGUGAACUUAACUGCUGUGCCACAGGGCUGCCUGUGUCAAUGACUUUCUUUUAGUAAACACAACUAGGAUUGAGGGCAGAAGGGCAGGGGAGAGAGGGAGAAAUGGAGGGGGGAGAGAGAGAGAGAUGCUUGAUUUUUUAAAAGAUGGUCCCUUGGACAAGAACACUUGUCAAAGAAGGCCUGGAUGCUCUUGGGAAUUAGCUGACAUUCCAAAGUGUUCACUUUUCCUGAUAGCUUUUGCACCCCUUAAGACGACACCGAGAGCGACCCUAGUCCCUCCACAGCCUUUGAAUGAAUGGGAGGCCCUGAUCUGUUUGGGUGAUUGGAUUUGUCUUGGCAGGUGGGGCUGGCUAUCAUCCACUUAAGCAGGACAGGUUCUCCAGGGUGCCAAGAAGGCUCCUCUUCAACAUGUUCUCUUGAUUUUUACUGACUCCUUUGACAGGGAGAAGCCUCUUGCUUACGAGCCACCCACUACAAGAGCACUUGCUGACGUUAAUGUGUGAAUGGCAUCCGUACCAGGCACUUUCCUGAGAAAACACUUUGAUAGAGCAGAGGACAGAGCAAGCAUGACGAUGCCCAGUUGUGGAAAACGGGAGAGGGUGUCUUCCGACCGAGGGAGGACGGGGAGGCUCAGAGAGGAAGCUGCACAGAUGUUGAAACGACUACUACAGGAUGAGAUGUUAAACUGGAAAGAAAACUUACAGACCUACAGGAACACAAUGACAGUAACAUCUUUAUAUUCUCACAACCCAGAGAUAUAAAAUGUGUGUGUAAGAUGGAGAUACAGCUUCUGCAUUUUCAAAAUGCUCAGAUGCCUGCAUGUGAAAGGCAGAGAGGAGAACCAGGACUCUCAGAGGAGAUGAAUUUUGACUCCAGACUGACUGGAACCAUCAGGAACUGGUGACUUGUGACCACAGCUUGUCCCGAGCGGACUCACUGCUGCCUCUGUGGUGAGCCUAUUUUCAAAGCCCCACAGUGGCCCCUUGUAAACUUUUCUCUUUUCCCUCAAGCCCUGACACUGCCGGUCCACUUGAGCUCCCACUGUGUGGAGACAAAAGGCCACCUAAUCUGUAGCAUCCCCCUCAAAACACCUCUAUUUUCAGCCCUUCUUCCUCCCUAUUUUAAUGAGCAGGUUUCCUGGAUUUUUCCCGAGGCCAGUUUCCCUGCUUGUGUGCUUGGCCCCAUCCUUUCCACCCCCCCAGGACCUUACUCAUUUGGUGAAAAUACAACUUUUUAGAAAUAAAUAUGUAACGUUCUCUGCACUUAAUAUUUUAUGGCAAUUAGGCUUUUUAAUCCCAAUGUCUGCUAUGCUAGGCUGACAGGAUUUUUAUGUAAACCAGCUGAUUUAUAUAUAUGUAAGUCCUAUAUGUGUAUAUGAAAGUUACAUUGGUAUGUUUAGACUAGUACAGCAGUGAGGAUGACAGAGAGAAAAGCAGACGUAUGAAAAUGCAGAACAAUAGAUUAGAGCGUGAAGCCUCUGUAGGUGGACAGCCUGAGCAUGCUUUGCUAAUUGUUUUGAAUCCUCAAUACCCUGUAGUGCAGACAGGGUGGGGCAAGGGGCCCAGAAUCACACACGUAUCAUGCCUUAAAGGCAAGCGGCAGACAACAGCUGUGUUGAUGCCACUACUAGAACUCCUCCGUGCCAUGUCCCCUAGCCCCACUGCUGGGCCCCCUAACUUGUUUAUUUCUAUUGAAGUAUAACAUACAUUAAAUAAUUUUCCCCUUUUAAAUGCACAGUUUGAUAAGUUUUAAAAUAUGCAUACUUCUAUGUGACUAUCAGCACAAUCAAGAUACAGUUUUGAUUUCAUCACCCAAAAAGUCCUCUCUUACUCCUUUGCAUUCAAGGUCUGCUGCUCCCAAUCCCUGGAAUCCAUCAAUUUGUUGUCUCUGAGCGUUAUGGACUGCGUGUUCACGUCGCCCCAAUUAAUACAUUGAAACCCUAACUCCCAACAGAGUGGUAUUAGGAGAUGGGGCUUUUGGGACAUAAUUAGGUCAUGAGGAUGGGGCCCCCAUGAUGGAGAUUAGUGCCCUUAUAAGAAGAGGAAGACAGCUAGCUCUCUGCUGUCUCUGCCAUGUGAGGAUACAGCAAGAUGUCCUCUGCCAGCCAGGAAGAGAGCCCUCAGCAGAUAUUAGAUCUGCCCGUGCCUUGAUCUUGGACUUUCUAGCCUCCAGAACUGUGAGAAACAAAUGUUUACUGAUUAAGCCACCCAGUCUAUGGUAUUUUUUUGUUAUAGCAGCCCGAGCAGACUAAGACACUUAGUAUAGACCAGUUUUGCCUGUUCUAGUAUAGAUUCACAAAUUAGUUUUGACUGUUUAUACAAAUGGUACAUUGGAUAUAAACUCUCUAUUGUCUGGAUUCUUUUCCUCAACAUAAUAUUUUAAAAAUUCUUCUAUGUUAUUACAUGUAUCAGUG
rnacentral:lncRNA from 1 species